UACGAACUGUGCAAACGUUAUUCGGAUUCACUGGGCUUAAAGGGUGCGUAGGCGGCCAUGUAAGUAGGGUGUGAAAUCCCCCCGGCUUAACCGGGGAACUGCGCCCUAAACUGUAUGGCUGGAGUGAGAUAGGGGUGUGUGGAACUUCCGGUGGAGCGGUGAAAUGUGUUGAUAUCGGAAGGAACGCCGGUGGCGAAAGCGACACACUGGGUCUCAACUGACGCUGAGGCACGAAAGCCAGGGGAGGCGAACGGG
rnacentral:rRNA from 1 species